rnacentral:lncRNA from 1 species
UAUCUGCUGGUUUUCUGCCCCCACCGCCCCACCCCAAAUUGGUAAACUCGCCGAAUCCGAUCGCUCCGUGUGGUGAUCACGUUUUUCCAGUCACAAGGCUCACCAUAUGGAUCACGAAUCCGUAUGUGAAACUUCUGAAAAACCCUUGGAAAACUUCAUGUGCUCCCACAACCAUGUGUCAAUGGCCCUUGUUCUGAACCCAAUUUUCCAUGCCAUCACAGUUGCUAGCUUGCUUUUAUCUGCAGCUUUGCUCAAAAAACAAACCCAAGUGGUAAAUCGCCGCAGCUUGUUGACUCCAGCUGGUUGAAUCACCACUGGCGGCGGUUAAAAACUAGCGGAACGAUCACCAUAGAACCAAUUGCUAAUGUUUUCCAUUGAAAAAUCUUCCUCUGAUUAUAUUCCUCAUGCUUGUGGCUAGUACCCCUGUUCAUUUUACAAUUGAGAAUGUCUUAUUACUUGUACUGUGUGCAGAAGGCUGAUUAAGAGUGAGGCUGAGCACUGUCACCAUUCUCUCAUGCUGUUGAUCAAAGGGAAUGUCCCUCUAGUACUUCCUUUGUUAGUACACAAAAAUGAUUCAAGCCCUGCUUAAGAGGUCUCAAUUCCAUGGGAGACUUUCUUUUCCUUAAACUCUUCAUGUCUUAGCAUGUGGCUGUAAUGGUGUGGACAACGCUGCUGCGUGAAGAAAUUGUGUAAAUCAGGGUUUGAUGCUGCAAGUGCGUAUCCGAAUGCUGUCACAAACUAGCAUUUUUGGUUUUUGGUAUUUUGGAUAAUUUAAACGCUGAUAUUUUUGGAUUUGAUGAUUUGAUACUUCUACAUGCCAUGAUUGUAUGUAUGUUUUAAAAAGUACAAAAUAAUUGUAAUUUAAUUUAUUGCCAAAGUUGAAAACAA